UCAAAUAUAUUAAACCUAUCCGGUAGGAUCUGAUAUGACCGACGUCAUGGUUAUCUGACAAAAUAAACUUACAAGCUUGACAAGCUUAUAUUGACAUUAAAAAACUUUAUUUGGAAGAAUAUUGAAUUAUCAAACUCUCAAGACUCAAUCCAUUAUGACCUAGUAUAUCUAUCAUGUUCAAAACUAUUCAUGCGUUUUUUAUAAGUCGGAGACGGAGAGCAGCAUUGGAGAGAGGAAUGAGCUGUUUUAAAAAAUAUAUAUAUUAUUUACAAAAUGUAACAAACAACUAUGGACAAACUAUAAUACAAAGGCUCCUUUAAGAAUUAUUUUAACAAUAUAAUGUUUCUGUUGAAAACCAGAUUCUUAGAAAAACACAGUCUGAAAUGACACAGCAGGUAGCCUAGUGGUUAGAGCCUAGUGGUUAGAGCAGGUAGCCUAGUGGUUAGAGCCUAGUGGUUAGAGCCUAGUGGUUAGAGCAGGUAGCCUAGUGGUUAGAGCAGGUAGCCUAGUGGUUAGAGCCUAGUGGUUAGAGCAGGUAGCCUAGUGGUUAGAGCAGGUAGCCUAGUGGUUAGAGCCUAGUGGUUAGAGCAGGUAGCCUAGUGGUUAGAGCCUAGUGGUUAGAGCAGGUAGCCUAGUGGUUAGAGCCUAGUGGUUAGAGCAGGAAGCCUAGUGGUUAGAGCAGGUAGCCUAGUGGUUAGAGCCUAGUGGUUAGAGCAGGUAGCCUAGUGGUUAGAGCAGGUAGCCUAGUGGUUAGAGCCUAGUGGUUAGAGCAGGUAGCCUAGUGGUUAGAGCCUAGUGGUUAGAGCAGGUAGCCUAGUGGUUAGAGCCUAGUGGUUAGAGCAGGUAGCCUAGUGGUUAGAGCCUAGUGGUUAGAGGCAGGUUGCCUAGUGGUUAGAGACAGGUUGCCUAGUGGUUAGAGCCUAGUGGUUAGAGGCAGGUUGCCUAGUGGUUAGAGCCUAGUGGUUAGAGCCUAGUGGUUAGAGGCAGGUUGCCUAGUGGUUAGAGCAGGUAGCCUAGUGGUUAGAGCAGGUAGCCUAGUGGUUAGAGCCUAGUGGUUAGAGCCUAGUGGUUAGAGGCAGGUUGCCUAGUGGUUAGAGCCUAGUGGUUAGAGGCAGGUUGCCUAGUGGUUAGAGGCAGGUUGCCUAGUGGUUAGAGCCUAGUGGUUAGAGGCAGGUUGCCUAGUGGUUAGAGGCAGGUUGCCUAGUGGUUAGAGCCUAGUGGUUAGAGGCAGGUUGCCUAGUGGUUAGAGCCUAGUGGUUAGAGGCAGGUUGCCUAGUGGUUAGAGCCUAGUGGUUAGAGGCAGGUUGCCUAGUGGUUAGAGCCUAGUGGUUAGAGGCAGGUAGCCUAGUGGUUAGAGCAGGUAGCCUAGUGGUUAGAGCAGGUAGCCUAGUGGUUAGAGGCAGGUAGCCUAGUGGUUAGAGGCAGGUAGCCUAGUGGUUAGAGCAGGUAGCCUAGUGGUUAGAGGCAGGUAGCCUAGUGGUUAGAGGCAGGUAGCCUAGUGGUUAGAGCAGGUAGCCUAGUGGUUAGAGGCAGGUAGCCUAGUGGUUAGAGCAGGUAGCCUAGUGGUUAGAGGCAGGUAGCCUAGUGAUUAGAGGCAGGUAGCCUAGUGGUUAGAGCAGGUAGCCUAGUGGUUAGAGCAGGUAACCCAGUGGUUAGAGGCAGCUAGCCUAGUGGUUAGAGCCUAGUGGUUAGAGCAGGUAGCCUAGUGGUUAGAGGCAGCUAGCCUAGUGGUUAGAGGCAGGUAGCCUAGUGGUUAGAGCAGGUAGCCUAGUGGUUAGAGCAGGUAGCCUAGUGGUUAGAGGCAGGUAGCCUAGUGGUUGGAGCCUAGUGGUUAGAGCAGGUAGCCUAGUGGUUAGAGCAGGUAGCCUAGUGGUUAGAGCAGGUAGACUGGUGGUUUGAGCAGGUAGCCUAGUGGUUAGAGCAGGUAGCCUAGUGGUUAGAGCAGGUAGCCUAGUGGUUGGAGCAGGUAGCCUAGUGGU